rnacentral:rRNA from 1 species
CCUACGGGAGGCAGCAGUAGGGAAUUUUCGUCAAUGGGCGCAAGCCUGAACGAGCGAUGUCGCGUGAGUGAAGAAGGCCUUCGGGUCGUAAAGCUCUGUUGCGGGGGAAAAAAGGCAGCAUCAGGAAAUAGGUGCUGACUGAUGGUACCCCGCCAGAAAGUCCCGGCUAACUACGUGCCAGCAGCCGCGGUAAUACGUAGGUGGCGAGCGUUAUCCGGAAUUAUUGGGCGUAAGGGGUGCGCAGGCGGUCUUGCAAGUCUGGGGUGAAACGCAUGAGCUCAACGCAGGAAUUGCUUUGGAAACUGGAGAACUGGAGAGCAUGAGAGGGCAGUGGAACUCCAGGUGUAGGAGUAAAAUCCGUAGAUAUAUGGAGGAACAUCAGUGGCGAAGGCGACCGCCUGGCCUGUAGCUGACGCUGAGGAACGAAAGCGUGGGGAGCAAAUAGGAUUAGAUACCCCAGUAGUC